AUUUAAUUAAUAACAUCACAGCUUCUUACAGUCAUGAGGUUAAGAUUUGUAUUUUAAAGAUUAAUGGACCACAACAGCAAACAAAUGUGAUAUAAACCGUCUGAACUUUCUUCUUUAAGACCUCAAAAGGAAAAAGAAAACGAUGCAUGUUCACAAAUACAGUCGCAGUAUAAAGUACCAACUAAUGUUAAAUAAAUGAGCCGGUGUGGAAACAAUGUCUUAACUGGAGAUCCACAACAUCCAGUGAAAGCGUCUGAGUCCUUGAAGUGUGUUUAAUGAUCAGACGACCACAUGGUGAUUUAGAUCAUUUGUUUUCUGACAUGUAACCUGUCUGUGAUGUGAAACCUCCUUCUUCCUUAACCUGCUCACGUUGUUCAGUUUGUUCAUCAUGUGCACCAUCCUGACCAACUGCUGCUUCAUGGCCAUGUCCGAGCCGGCGUACUGGGCCAAAUACCUGGAGUACACCUUCACAGGUAUCUACACCUUCGAGUCUCUCAUAAAGAUCUUGGCGAGGGGUUUCUGUGCGGGACCCUUCACCUUCCUGAGGGACCCCUGGAACUGGCUCGACUUCAGUGUCAUCGUCAUGGCGUGAGUCAAACACACGCAAACAUGCAUACGUUUAAAACUUCCUGUUCCUGUUAACAAACGUUACACACAGCCGAUAACGCAAAAAAAAACAGCUUUAAGUGCUCAACGAGUCGUGCUGCGAUCAAAGAUGGACGUCCUAACACAAGCUGGUCUCAUCCAGCAUUCGUAGCAAUACCUAUACGA